GCAAAAGGAGCCGCACAAACGCAAAACGACUCGCACCACUAAUCCUCCCCAUUCCUUCAUCCUGAACAAAACUGCCCGCACGAACCCACGACCUUCGCUGGUCCUCCUCUGCUACCCACGCCUCCCGCAGAUCCUCCGCUCGGCCGCUCCCCGCAGAUCCUCUGCUGCCCCACGGACGCGACCGCGGACUGCCGCCGCCGAUGAUCCCAUCUGAUGGCGGCGCCGACCCAUCCCUGGCGCUGGAUGCGGCGACCUCCGGUAGAGGCGCGCCCAGCCGCGCCUUCCCCAGCACAGUCUCGCCGGGAUGCCUCCGCUCCUCCGGCAGCGCCGCGCCCGUCCGCCGCAGCCCGCCGGCGAGGGCACAAUCGGUGCCGACCUGCACGCGCAAGGGGAGGCGGCAGGAGCAGUCGUGCAAGGGCAGGACCAGCCGUGCGGUCAAUCGAGCGAUCCUUUUUCAUCUUGGCCGCCAUGUCCCCCGCCGUGGACGACGCCCGCUGUGGCGAUCUCCACCCUGGCGACCAGCUCUGCCUCGCCUGCCAAAUCAAAUCUACGAACUAAGGUUGAUUUCUAUGACUUCAGUUCGCUGGGGGUACUGGCAUAACGCUUAUGUUGCAGGCUUCUCCAGAAUGAUUCCUCACAAGAGAUAUCUCAACCAGUCAUAAGUUAGCCUGAAGACAUAUGGUGCAGAUAUUCUUCCUUGGUAUAAGAGAUACUUUCGAGUUUCGACUAAGCACAUGCGCAAUGUUACAUUUGAGUAAGGGAUUACCAUGUUCUCUGAAUUUUCUACCCGACAGAUAUGUUCAACUAUAGUUAGAGUAUUCCGACAAAGGGUUUACCCCCGCUUUAUAUUAUAAAGCAUCCGAAUAUUUAGAGUAUUAUACAUCUCUAAUCUGCAUAUUUGAAACCAACAUGAUAAUGUUCCAUACUUCUUAAGCCAUUUUGGUGCCACCUAUUGUACCAUCAUUUUUUGCUUCAGGUAUUGUCCUUAUUUCCAAACAAUUCCUUUGUCUUCGCUUUCUCUACUCACAUGUGUUUUUUAGUCUUCCUCUCACUCUUUUGAGCUUCUACAGAACUGAUGUCUAACUGCUAUGUUUACCCUUCUGAAUAAUACCCUUAUCAAGUUUUCAGCUUUUAAUGUAAAACCGUAACCAAUUACCGAAAUUUUGGAGUUCUUUUUCACCUUUUCUUGUCCGGUUGUGGAUAAAAAAACUUAUGCUGAAUCAUUACGUCUCCAGACGAGCAGUGCAGAUUUGAGAGUUGGGUUAUUUGUCAAAAGUUUUCCGUUUUAUCCAUACAAUAGAAAAAUUAGUUUUACAUAAUUUGAAUGUGUGCUCACAUGAGCUUGUAAACUUCUCUCAUGUGUCCACACAAGGGCGGAGGGAAGAUUCUUUCUGUGAAGAAACCUAUUUUGUAUGAAGUUGUAGUUGAUUUUAUCGGACUGGGAAGUGAUGGAUGCACCAAGUAGGUGGUCUUUAUUUCUGGGAUUAGAAUUUUCAAAAGGACUGUUUCUUCUCACCUUGAUCUUGUGAUCUAAUGAAACUUAUUCCUGAUUUUGAUCAGGGACACAACAGUGAAUAUGUUUUUGAAUUUCGUGCUGUAGCUAAAUGAACGAUUAUUAGAUAUUGGAGUUGAGUCAAAGCACGGUUUUGAACGAUUAUCAGUGAUUGUCCUAGAUCAAUGGGUGAUUUAUGUGCAAAUGCUACAGUCGAAGACAUGCAGUUGCUUGCCGUCGAUGAAGCGACAUCAACAUGGGUAGCUGAUCCAGUCAUCUGUUAGUCUGUUCGUCUUUCUUCCUUGCACUUUGUUCUUCAGUCAUGUGUUGGGCAUCCUUCCCCAUGCUACUGACUCUAUGGUGUCGCUGGCCCAUGCUUCUGACUCUCCAGACAUAUACUCACUUCUUAGAAAUCCCAUGGCAAUUGCUUUCAUGUGAAUUUUGGUUAGUACUCCGUAUUUAUGAUGCUGCUGGCCUCAUUGCUCUGAAUAUACUACCACACUGCAUGAUAAAAUCAACAAUGACUUUUCUUAAUGCAUGUAAAUUAUCGCUUCUCUGUAAUGUUUGAUGUCAAUUUAUUC